UAUGAGAGUUUGAUCCUGGCUCAGGACGAACGCUGGCGGCGUGCCUAAUACAUGCAAGUCGUACGCUUCUUUUUCCACCGGAGCUUGCUCCACCGGAAAAAGAAGAGUGGCGAACGGGUGAGUAACACGUGGGUAACCUGCCCAUCAGAAGGGGAUAACACUUGGAAACAGGUGCUAAUACCGUAUAACAAUCGAAACCGCAUGGUUUUGAUUUGAAAGGCGCUUUCGGGUGUCGCUGAUGGAUGGACCCGCGGUGCAUUAGCUAGUUGGUGAGGUAACGGCUCACCAAGGCCACGAUGCAUAGCCGACCUGAGAGGGUGAUCGGCCACAUUGGGACUGAGACACGGCCCAAACUCCUACGGGAGGCAGCAGUAGGGAAUCUUCGGCAAUGGACGAAAGUCUGACCGAGCAACGCCGCGUGAGUGAAGAAGGUUUUCGGAUCGUAAAACUCUGUUGUUAGAGAAGAACAAGGAUGAGAGUAACUGUUCAUCCCUUGACGGUAUCUAACCAGAAAGCCACGGCUAACUACGUGCCAGCAGCCGCGGUAAUACGUAGGUGGCAAGCGUUGUCCGGAUUUAUUGGGCGUAAAGCGAGCGCAGGCGGUUUCUUAAGUCUGAUGUGAAAGCCCCCGGCUCAACCGGGGAGGGUCAUUGGAAACUGGGAGACUUGAGUGCAGAAGAGGAGAGUGGAAUUCCAUGUGUAGCGGUGAAAUGCGUAGAUAUAUGGAGGAACACCAGUGGCGAAGGCGGCUCUCUGGUCUGUAACUGACGCUGAGGCUCGAAAGCGUGGGGAGCAAACAGGAUUAGAUACCCUGGUAGUCCACGCCGUAAACGAUGAGUGCUAAGUGUUGGAGGGUUUCCGCCCUUCAGUGCUGCAGCUAACGCAUUAAGCACUCCGCCUGGGGAGUACGACCGCAAGGUUGAAACUCAAAGGAAUUGACGGGGGCCCGCACAAGCGGUGGAGCAUGUGGUUUAAUUCGAAGCAACGCGAAGAACCUUACCAGGUCUUGACAUCCUUUGACCACUCUAGAGAUAGAGCUUCCCCUUCGGGGGCAAAGUGACAGGUGGUGCAUGGUUGUCGUCAGCUCGUGUCGUGAGAUGUUGGGUUAAGUCCCGCAACGAGCGCAACCCUUAUUGUUAGUUGCCAUCAUUUAGUUGGGCACUCUAGCAAGACUGCCGGUGACAAACCGGAGGAAGGUGGGGAUGACGUCAAAUCAUCAUGCCCCUUAUGACCUGGGCUACACACGUGCUACAAUGGGAAGUACAACGAGUCGCGAAGUCGCGAGGCUAAGCUAAUCUCUUAAAGCUUCUCUCAGUUCGGAUUGUAGGCUGCAACUCGCCUACAUGAAGCCGGAAUCGCUAGUAAUCGCGGAUCAGCACGCCGCGGUGAAUACGUUCCCGGGCCUUGUACACACCGCCCGUCACACCACGAGAGUUUGUAACACCCGAAGUCGGUGAGGUAACCUUUUGGAGCCAGCCGCCUAAGGUGGGAUAGAUGAUUGGGGUGAAGUCGUAACAAGGUAGCCGUAUCGGAAGGUGCGGCUGGAUCACCUCCUUUCUAAGGAA
rnacentral:rRNA from 1 species